rnacentral:rRNA from 1 species
AUGCAAGUCAGAGCGGACAGAAGGGAGCUUGCUCCCGGAUGUUAGCGGCGGACGGGUGAGUAACACGUGGGUAACCUGCCUGUAAGACUGGGAUAACUCCGGGAAACCGGAGCUAAUACCGGAUAGUUCCUUGAACCGCAUGGUUCAAGGAUGAAAGACGGUUUCGGCUGUCACUUACCCAUGGACCCGCGGCGCAUUAGCUAGUUGGUGGGGUAAUGGCUCACCAAGGCGACGAUGCGUAGCCGACCUGAGAGGGUGAUCGGCCACACUGGGACUG